UCUCGCCUAAUCCACUCUGCUCUGACUUCCCACCUUCGAUCCAUUAAGUCAGCAAUCUCCUUCCAUAAACAACAGAUUCCAAGCUACUUCCAGACUCCAAGCUUCUGCCUCUUCUGGUGUGCAGCGCCCCACUUCCGCCGAUCAACUCUCUACUUUGCUUACCAUUAGUUCUUGUUCUGCCUCCAAAA